UACGUAGGGGGCAAGCGUUGUCCGGAUUUAUUGGGCGUAAAGAGCGUGUAGGCGGCCAUGCAGGUCCGCUGUGAAAACUGGAGGCUUAACCUCCAGACGUCGGUGGAAACCGCAUGGCUAGAGUCCGGAAGAGGAGAGUGGAAUUCCGGGUGUAGCGGUGGAAUGCGUAGAGAUCCGGAAGAACACCGGUGGCGAAGGCGGCGACCUGGUCCUUGACUGACGCUGAGGCGCGAAAGCGUGGGGAGCAAACAGG
rnacentral:rRNA from 1 species